rnacentral:rRNA from 1 species
AACGAACGCUGGCGGCAGGCCUAACACAUGCAGGUCGAGCGAGGACUUCGGUCCUAGCGGCGGACGGGUGAGUAACGCGUGGGAACGUGCCCCUUGGUACGGAAUAGCCCCGGGAAACUGGGAGUAAUACCGUAUGAGCUCUACGGAGGAAAGAUUUAUCGCCAAGGGAUCGGCCCGCGUUGGAUUAGGUAGUUGGUGGGGUAAUGGCCUAACAAGCCGACGAUCCAUAGCUGGUUUGAGAGGAUGAUCAGCCACACUGGGACUGAGACACGGCCCAGACUCCUACGGGAGGCAGCAGUGGGGAAUCUUAGACAAUGGGCGCAAGCCUGAUCUAGCCAUGCCGCGUGAGCGAUGAAGGCCUUAGGGUUGUAAAGCUCUUUCAGCUGGGAAGAUAAUGACUGUACCAGCAGAAGAAGCCCCGGCUAACUCCGUGCCAGCAGCCGCCGUAAGAC